GACGAACGCUGGCGGCGUGCUUAACACAUGCAAGUCGAACGGAAAGGCCUAGCUUGCUGGGUACUCGAGUGGCGAACGGGUGAGUAACACGUGGGUGAACUGCCCCUGACUUUGGGAUAAGCCUGGGAAACUGGGUCUAAUACCGGAUAUUCAUUUUUCCUCGCCUGGGGAUUUGUGGAAAGCUUUUGCGGUUGGGGAUGGGCCCGCGGCCUAGCGGCUUGUUGGGGGGGUAAUGGGCUACCAAGGCGAGGACGGGUAGCCGACCUGGGAGGGUGAGCGGCCACACGGGAACGGGGACACGGCCCAGACUCCUACGGGAGGCAGCGGUGGGGAAUUUUGCACAAGGGGCGCAGGCCUGAGGCAGCGACGCCGCGUGGGGAAGGACGGCCUUCGGGUUGUAAACCUCUUUCAGCUCCAACGAGGCGCAAGUGACGGUAGGAGCAGAAAAAACACCGGCCAACUCCGU
rnacentral:rRNA from 1 species